CAGAACGAACGCUGGCGGCAGGCCUAACACAUGCAAGUCGAGCGCGCCCUUCGGGGUGAGCGGCGGACGGGUUAGUAACGCGUGGGAACGUACCCUUUGGUAGGGAAUAGCCACUGGAAACGGUGAGUAAUACCCUAUGAGCCCUUCGGGGGAAAGAUUUAUCGCCAAAGGAUCGGCCCGCGUUAGAUUAGGUAGUUGGUGGGGUAAUGGCCUACCAAGCCUACGAUCUAUAGCUGGUUUUAGAGGAUGAUCAGCAACACUGGGACUGAGACACGGCCCAGACUCCUACGGGAGGCAGCAGUGGGGAAUCUUGGACAAUGGGGGCAACCCUGAAUCCAGCCAUGCCGCGUGAGUGAAGAAGGCCUUAGGGUCGUAAAGCUCUUUCGCCUGUGAAGAUAAUGACGGUAGCAGGUAAAGAAACCCCGGCUAACUCCGUGCCAGCCGCAGC
rnacentral:rRNA from 1 species